UGGGGAAUCUUGGACAAUGGGGGCAACCCUGAUCCAGCGACGCCGCGUGGGUGGUAAGGCCUUCGGGUUGUAAAGCCCUUUCAGCGGGGAAGAUGAUGACAUUACCCGCAGAAGAAGCGCCGGCUAACUCCGUGCCAGCAGCCGCGGUAAGACGGAGGGCGCUAGCGUUGUUCGGAAUCACUGGGCGUAAAGGGCGCGUAGGCGGCUGUUUAAGUCGAGGGUGAAAGCCCGGGGCUCAACCCCGGAACGGCCUUCGAGACUGGCAGUCUAGAGUCCGAGAGAGGUGAGUGGAACUCCGAGUGUAGAGGUGAAAUUCGUAGAUAUUCGGAAGAACACCAGUGGCGAAGGCGGCUCACUGGCUCGGAACUGACGCUGAGGUGCGAAAGCGUGAGGAGCAAACAGGAUUAGAUACCCGCGUAGUCC
rnacentral:rRNA from 1 species